rnacentral:lncRNA from 1 species
AACCACCAACUGCUUCCCAACAUUGCGACCGGAGUAAAGCCCUAUAAGAGCAGCCGGAGCACUUUCCAGGCCUUCCGCUAUAUCUUCCACAUAAGUUAUCUUCCCUUCUUUUAUCAGUGGAAGCACCAUCUCCAAAAAUUUUGGAUAGAGGUGGUAGUAAUCAAAAACAAGAAAUCCUUCCAUGCGAAUACGUUUAUUUACAGUGCAGAAUAAGUUGUGUACACCUUCUGGCUGCUCGAGAUUGUACUGUGAGAUCAUUCCACAAACAGCUAUACGACCCUUGUUAUUCAUGUUGAGAAGCACGGCAUCAAGCAUCUUUCCUCCAACAUUCUCGAAGUAAAUAUCGAUUCCAUUAGGGAAAUAUCUAUCAAAAUAACAAUUGUACUAUGAAUUUCGCAUAGUUCAGAAAAGCAACCAUGCAAGCAUUUUAAAUAUUUGCAGCUAUAGGACGGACGGGGCAUUAACACUGAAGGGGAAAUAAACAAAUCACAAACUCAAUUCUCGUCAUGAAGCUGGACUUAUUAACAUAUAAAACCCCACAUAGUGCAACCACCGUUCAUCUCUGGAAGAAGAGAAGUUGGAACUCACCUUUUUAAAGCUGAAGUUAAAUCCUGCUCUUCUUUAUAGUUGAAUGCAUCAUCAAAACCAAAUUUGGUCUUCAACAGAUCAACCUUGAACAACAAUGGACAAAGUAAGUAUAUAGUGGAAAUGCUUUUGAUAUUCAGAGAUAUACCAUAUAAACUCUUGCUACCCAAGAAAUAUACAUCAUCAAAUGUCAAAAGAACAUUAGAACCCGUCUGAUUCAGCUAAAAAAUUGAUUAAGAUAUAAGUCAAAAUCACUACUAAUUUUAGUCACACAUUUCAUGAGACCCACAACUUUUCAACCACACAUUCGAUCAACUUUUAUUAAAAUCUACUAGAAAUCUAAUUUUUAUCUAAACCAAACAGGGGAUAGCAUGGAAGGAUUCCAUAUCUCAAGCUUGUCCACUAGCUUCUCUGUUGAUAGAACAACUUGUCAGUAUCCCAAAGAUCAAACUCAAACUUCUUUCUAGCUUUCGGCAGAAACUUAAACUUAGAUGUUACAUAAGCCAAAAUAACUUGAUCAGUGUUAAAAUCAGCAAAAGACAAGCUGUUUAUAUCUACACACGCCCAUCAGCAUUAAUUUUUUUCAUUAACCUUAUCUUUGCUUCCGGCACUUCCAACAACGUAGCAUCCAAGCAACUUCGCAAAUUGCCCAACAAGCUGACCAACCGCUCCAGAUGCAGCAGAAACGAAGAGAGUUUCACCCUUUUUGGGAGAGCAAACCUCAUAAAAACCAGUAUAAGCAGUCAUGCCAGGCAUACCUAAGAAGAAAUAUAUGGUAAAUUAGUCAAGCAGUUAACAACUGUAAAAGAAAAAAGUCCACAAAAGUUUGGUACAAUAAAGAUUAAGAAUUUCACAUUGGUACAAUAAAGAUUAAGAAUUUCACAUUGGUACAAUAAAGAUUAAGAAUUUCACAUUGGUACAAUAAAGAUUAAGAAUUUCACAUUGGUACAAUAAAGAUUAAGAAUUUCACAUUGGUUCAAUAAAGAUUAAGAAUUUCACAUUCUCUUAAAUAUUCUUAAUCACCCGCAACAAUGAUGCAACACUGUAAUAAUUUACCAUUGUCUGUCCUUGAUUGUAAAAGAUAGACCCAGAAAUAUGAUAUUAUUACGUCACUGUGUCACCAAACUAGAAUACUGGCCAUAUCCAGUAUGUUGCUAUAUUUGGCUUGCUAAAGGGCACGAUCAAAUUAUUCAGUGUCACCAAACUAAAAUACUGGCCAUAUCCAGCCUGAUGCUAUAUUUGUCUUGCUAAAGGGCAUGAUCAAAUUAUCAAUGUGCAAGUGCUCGAAGUUAGCCGAUUUUGACAGUUUUGAGUAGACAAAGAUCAUGUCGAAUGCUCACAGUGCUAGAGUUACAAGAGCAAGAGAGAGGGAAAACUGAAAAAGAGAAAGAAAGAGGCAGAAAAUAGAGGAAGGAUUCUUUGAUUUUGUUCAAUAAUGUUGUGUGUAAUACAAAGAAUGACCCCUCUUUAUUUAGUGCUUAAUUAACCUAAAUAAGGUAACAAAAACUAGGGCUUAUAACACUCAAUUAAGGCAACCUGAUGUUGCAUCAUCAAAGUAAUCCAGACAGCUGUAUAUUUGGGGUCGAAAUGUCGUAAAACCAUAAAACCCAAAACGUUGCAAGAUUCUACAUUCACCAUUGACGCGGAAAAAUAUUCACGCUUUGCACAUAUGGGAGCAAAGUACUCAAAAGCUCAUUCAUAUUUAUCAUGACAAAACAAAAAUUUAGAGAGUUUUAAAUGAAUACAGAAUUAUAUUCAGAUGCAGGGGAAUAUAAUGAUGGUGAAAUUGAAAACAGAUAUCAUGUGGAUGAUUCCUCACAAUAAAGAAAUCCAAUGUGUCAAACAGUGGCAAUUAACUGUUACUAUAAUUUGAAGGGUAAAUAUGUACUUCAGAAUUGAGAAGUUAGAAUGAUCAUCUUAUUUUCUUAAUGUCUGGAAAAACACAAUGUAGGUUGUGACAAAACAAAUAUAUAUAUUUUACCCCGGAGAAAACUAAAACCUGAAAUAAAGUUAAUUAAUCACUGUCCUCGACACCAGAUAAUUUUUCCAAAUAGAAAUCAAUGUACGACCAUAUCUGCCAUCAAGAACAGGAUUAAUGUAUAUGCCCGCAAGUAACAGGCUCAACGUAUCAGGCAAUUUAUCACCACUGUAGCAAAUAUUUUUCGAUCAUCAUUCGGCUUAUUAUCCUUCUAUGCUAUCCAGGAGACCAGUAAUUCUUUUCGCACUUGCACAAGAACUCAAAAUAGGAAAAAAGAGCUCAACGUAUCAAGUAAACCCAUUUAUGUUUGCACCAAAAACAGAACACCUUUAUUCAGUUAUUAUGCAAUUUUUAAGACAGUAACUUACCAAGAAUACCCGUAUAGUAGGAGAGAGGCACAUCUGUGUGCUGAAUUUUAAUUAAAGUCUCUGGUUCUUUAAUAAGACUGUAUUCUUCCCAGCCAGUCCUUCCCCAAACCAGGUCGCCCACCUUGAAGUUGAGAUGAGCGGAGUCUACAACUUUGGACACUCCAUAUCCAACAAUAGGCUAGAUAAUACAUAAACGGAGAAGCUCAAGAAAAACAUAAAAUAAUCAAACAGAUUGAGGUAACUGAAAUAGUAGAUAGCUGACAUCAGUAGGGGAGACAGGUUUAUCCUUCGGGUAAGGUAACUGAUCAUAAAUCCAGCAAUGCCAUCUUUCUUGCUAUCUGUGAAUGGUUUUAAGUGAUCAUGAUGGAUUUUUAAUAAUAGUUAAACAAAUUCAGCAAAUAAAGUUGCUUCCUACAUAAAUUGUAGAAGGAAUUCAAGAGGUGGUCUUUUACGAAACAUUACUUUUCCCCAAAUCAUGUGUCUUGAGAGAAUUACAUCAAUACAAAAGUCACAAAUAUAUUGAAUUUAUGAUGUAGAGAAUCUACGGCCAAGUGGAUUUAGGAACAGUUGGACCAAAAAGGAAGAAACAAUAAUUGCAGAUUUGGCAUGUGAGCUCUGAUUUGGGCCCGUAAUACCUCUUCGGAAAGGGCACGAUGAGCCCAUUUAGAACUCGAAAACUGCUUCUUCUUUUUUUAAGUUUUAAUGCUAUUUUUGUUAUUUAGUUUAUUUCGAAUUCUUUUCAAUUUUAGGGCUUUUAAACUAUAUUUUCAUGCAAAUUCUUAUAAAUAUAGAGUUAAUUCUUCGUUUUUAGGAAGUUUUGAAUUAAUAAAACAUCUUGAAUUUAUAUUUCAUUCUCCAGGUGGAUUCCAGAUUUUUGUUCUUGAGAUUUUCGCUUCACGCUGCAUCAAUUUAAUAUACUUUGGUGAUGAAUGAGCAGACAAUGCCACUUACAUUUCCAAUAUUAUUGCACUAUUAUCUUGCUUGGGAAAAAAACCCUACUUAACUCUUGCCCCUAAAUCCUAGCACAAUCGUUCAAUCACAAUGUGCAAAGAUCACUCCGGAGACUGUUUUAGAACAACAAACCCAUUUUCCAGAACGAACUAAUACAUCAAACAAAAUUGGGGAUGAAAAUUGAGGGAGCGUGAAAAUGAAUGACUUACAGUGCCAGGAGUAUAGGGCUCAAUGUAACUCCCCUCAGUUUUCUGCAUGCGAUUGCGCAUGUAAGGAUCACAAGACAAAUAGAGAUUCUUCACCAAAAUUGCGUUGGGAGAAUCCGCCGGAACCUUGAGUUUGAUGCUUGAAGUUUUCAAUGACAUGUCUGAUUCUUUUGGGAAACCUUUAAUGUAAUCAUUGAGUAUGAUUUGCCUGUUGCCAACUUCCUCAGAUCCCAUUGCUGCUUGCUUGGAUUAUGAAUGUGAACUGUGAAGCGAAGGGCGGAAGGAUCGAGAUGACCUGCGUGAACCACAAUUUGUAGGACUUUCUGGUUCAUUAGGAUAUUACGUACGUUUUUUUCUUUUUUCACACACCACACAUUAUGUGGACUGAGCUGCCAAUUGUCGUCACCACACGUAUUAUUAAAGAGUAAAUUGCACAGGAUAUCACUAACGUUUUUAAAAACGUACAAAUUAGUCGUCCACCUUGAAAUCAUUGCAAUGCCAUCCUCAGCAGGUAUAAAUACGAUUAAACAAGCAUGUGCGCGUUUUUGUGAAGGUCAAGGAUCUGUGCAGCAUUUUUCCCUAUUAUUAAUGUAAAAGAAAUAAGAAAAUGUGCAAAUAAUUUAAGCCGUAGUCAUUAUUAGCUAAAAACAAUAUUUUGAAUUUUGAAUUUUGAAUUUUUGAAAAAUAUGUGAUUAAAAGUAGAAAAAAGUUUUAGAUUUAAAUAUAGAAUAUUUAUUGUAUAAAUGUGUUAUUGAAAAUGAGUAUAUAAAAUAAUGAAUUUUGAAAUAAUGGUUGUCAAACAGGAAUUUAAUAGCAUCAUUGAAAUAUUCAAUGUUUUCUUUGCAUGUAAAAUUAAUGCAAAUCAGGAAUGAAAAAGCCUAAUAAGCUAUUUACAAAUUUCAUAUACUAGGGGCUUUUGCUCAUGCUUUGAUUUUCUAUAGAAGAGUUUCUUCGACAUUUUUAAAGACUAUUUAACGAGACGAAUCAUAUCAAUUCAUUGAUGUAUAUCAAAUUUAAUUCAAAUGUUGAAUCCACUAUAAGUUUACUCACAAAUAAAUUUAUAUGUCAUGUCACAAAUGAUUACAUAAGAUAAACUUCCAGGUUCAUUAUAUCGUUUCUCUAUCACUAACGCUCAUUUUAUUGUAAACAUCGAUAACAUGUCAUACAAAUUAUUGAUGGAUAGCAACUUUGAUCAAAUGUUGAGAGCCAUAAAUUUAUCGAUCAAUAAAUUGAUAUAUCAUGUUAUUGGUGUUAGUAUAAGAUAAGCACAGUAUAAAAUAAGCAUUGGUGCUCAUUAUAUCAUUCCUCAUCUACAAUUUAUUAAAAGUGAGGAUGGUGGAGAAAUUUUUAAAUACCAAAUUUACACCUACAUAUUUAAUUAUAUGCCCACUAUACCCUCAUAAUUGGAAUGCCAAUUUAAUUAGUAUUUAUCAUUUGGUUUACAAUUAAUAUAAUAUAAGAAGUGAAAUAUUAUUUGAUAUUUAUCAUUUUGGAUUGGAAUUAAUAUAAGAGGUGAAACAGACAUUCAAUUAUUUUAAAAAGAAUAAAAAAUAAAAAUCAAUGACUUAUCAUUCAAUUGACCAUUUUGUUCUCACAAUUUUUAUUUUUCGUCAACAAAAUCCUCAAUAAUUUUCAAGAUUUACAUUAUAGUUUAUGCAAUGAGUUUUUAUUUUUUAUCAACAAAGCAAAUUUUAAUCUUAAUGCUUUACAUUAUAAUUCAUUCAUUACGUUAUUAUUUAAUUGAGGUUACAAAUAUUUUAAAUGUUGUAUUAAUAUAUUAAUGAGGACAUUCAUGAAUAAAAAAGAAAUUACCCACGGAAAUUCAAUGACUAACAUUCAAUUGUUUUUUUUUUCCUUUAUAAUUUUUUAUUUUCAUCAACAAAGCCCUUAUUAACCAAUUUAAUUAAUAUUUAUCAUUUGAUUUAGAAUUAGUAGAAGUGGAGAAAUAUUUAAUUUAUAUUUAUCAUUUGUGUUGGAAUUAGUAUAAGGAGUGAAAUUGACAUGUAAUUAUUAAAAAAUAAUAAUAAAUCAACGAAAAUUUAGUGACUUUUCGUUCAAUUGAAUAUUUUAUUCUUACAAUUUUUAUUUUUCAUCAACAAAGCAUAUUUUUAUUUUUCAUCAACAAAAUCUCAUUAAUUUUCAUGAUUUACAUUAUAAUUCAUCUAUUCUGUUUUUAUUUUUCAUUAACAAAGCAAUUUUUGUUUUUCAUCAACAAAGCGCAUAGUAAUCUUCAUGAUUUACAUUAUAAUACAUCCAUUAGGUUAUUAUUUAAUUGAGGUUACAAAUUUGAAAGGUUGCAUAUAUAUAUAUAUAUAUAUCAAAGCCCUUAUUAAUCUUCAUAAUUUACAAUAUAAUUUAUGCAUUAAGUUAUUACUUAAUUGAGGUUGCAAAAUUAAAAGGUUGCAUUAAUAUAUCCCAUUACCUCCAGCAAAUAAUAAAAGAUUUCCAUUCAAAUUCAAGGAAAACAAUUUCCAAUACGUCUAUACUUUGUAAUAACAAUUAAUAAGGCUCAAGGACAAACAUUGCCUACUAUUGGAAUAUAUCUUCUUAAACAUGUAGUCUCUCAUGGACAACUAUAUGUCGCACUUUCUCGUGGAGUUUCAAUGAAAACAAUAAAAUUUUUAGUAAAAGCAAAAGAUAAAAAGAAGAAAAGAUGUAGGACGUUGACAAAAAAAUCUCGUGUACAAAGAAAUAAUGUUGUAAUCACAUCAUCACAUUUUAGUUUAUUCAACAUUUUCAAAUUAUAUACAUAAUUUCAUAAAAGCAUAUAUAUAUAUAUAUAUAUAUAUAUAUAUAUAUAUAUAUAUAUACUCAAUUGUAAUUUUUCCUUUAACAAUAUAAAUUACCUCCAUUAUUUUAAAAAAUGGUAUUAGUAAUUCAAAAAUAAUACGUAUAUCAUUCAUCAAUAGGUAAGACAUGCAACGCACGUGCUUACUACUAGUAUUAUAAUAAGUAACGAUGCUUAUCGUAUUCUGAACAUAGAUAAUGUAUUGCAUCAAUUAAUUGAUAAAAAGCAAAUUUACUUAAAAAAUUCAGACCUUCCAUAAAUUUAUUCAUUAAUAAAUUUAUAUAACAUGUCACAGAUGCUUAACAUAAACCCAAGACCUCUCUUGAAUAGGAAGGGGCUCUAAUAGCCCUCUGAGUUGUUUUUGCUCAAUAGUCGUCUUGAUGCUACUAUUGAAAUAGCCUUUCUAGCUAUAUUACUAAGGAAUUCUGAAACCCGGCAGCGAGGGAAGGGGGGAAAUACUUAACACUGGAAUUCGGUCUAUCAAAACAUCUAUGCUCAUUAAAUUAUUCUUCCUCUUGUAUCAUUAAUACAUGGCAUAUGUCAUUCUUCAAUCACUAUUAAAAAGGGAGGCAACAUAGAUGAAAUUUUAGCAAUGAACGUAUUCUGUUACUAAUACGAAGGAUUGACAACAAAUUAGCAAAAGAUGAUUCCGUUGGAAACUAUAUAAAAAGAUAAAUAAUUACCAACGAAAAAGACUUUUGGUAAACAUUUUAAUUAAAAAUAAAAAUUCAUUAAAUAACUACCAACUAGGAAAAAAAAAUCCGUCUGAAAAUUUUUGAUUAAAAAACAUUUCCUAUCAAAAAAUCCAUUAAUAAUUUUAAGUAUAAGUAUCAAUUAAUAAUUAUAAACGGAAUAGUAGGUAAUGUUUUAAAAAUUAUAUAUAGUGUUUAUCAAGCUUUUUUAUAAAGUAUGAAAUAAAUCAUUUUGUUGACAAGAAAAUUGUGAAAGACAUGAAAAAUAAUAAUAAUAAUAAUAAUAAUAUAGUAUGUUCUGAAAAGAAAAAUAGUUAAUUUUCUGAACGCAUACAAUUUUUAUUCAUAAUAAAAUUUUAUUUUGUAAAAAUAAAUAUAAAUUUCAUUUUUAUGUUCAAAAAAAUUUAAAUUUUGGAACAAAUGAAGCAAAAAUUAUAGAAAAAAUAUGAUAUUGGUGAAUAAUAACAUUUUUCUCAAAACAAUUUUUGAAAAAUAUUUUUUGUUUCUUAAUUUGAUCAUAUACUUCGUACAUAUCGCAGUAAUUGAGUAAAAAUGGGGGAAGAACUAUUACAGGAAGCCUAAACUGUCAAAUAUGAUGAGAAAAUACGAAAUUGGGAGAAUGAAUAUAUUAUAGUCCGAAAAAAAUUUAUUUGAUAGCCACAAAAUUAAAUAAUCUUCAUUGGUUGAUUAUAUAUCGGUUAAAAAAUAAAUAACUCAUUAUGUAGGCCAUCAAGUGAUUUGGUUUGGAGUUUUGAGAAUUGGAGUAGUUGGAUUUUCUUAAUAAUUUAAAGAUAUUUAACAAAGUAAUUAAAAAUAAUAAAAUUGUGAAAUGGAAAAAAAACAAAAAACAAAAAAUUGGUUGAUAUUUAAGAAAAAAAAAAUGCUUAUCCAUGUAAGAUCCUAAGUUAUUUUGAGCAAUAUGACUGAUGACCAAUUGAUUUCUAGUUGUGAAUAUUAUUGAUUGAUGGAGAGAAUUUUGAAUUAGUAGAACUAUGCUGUGAGCUUUGUGGAAAUUUCUAUUUAUCUAUGUUCUCUAUGACUUAACCUUAUGGUGAGAUAAAUUUGGAAGUAGUUGAGCCGAAAAAAGAGAUUAUCUAUAAAUGUGUUGAUUCCGUGUAUGUUAAGUAUAUAUUGUAUGGAUUGUAUUUGAUUAGUAAGUAUAAAUUAGGUAAUAACCAUAUGCUAGAGAUCUAAGCUCUACAUAUAAUAUUUUCUUGCUAAAAAAGAAAAAGAAUAUUGCACUUGUUAAAUCUUAUACCUCACUCCGUAGCCUUUUAUAAGUCCAUAGGGGUAUCUCGAAACUCAGUACCAUUUGGUCUUUUAGAAAAAUCAAGGAAGUAUUGAGCUAAAGCUAUAAUCGCAAAUCUUGCAAGAUAUCAUGCAUUUAUAAUUGAAUUUGAGGACUUAGAUAACUAAUUAGUUUGAAUUGCUUAGUAUAAGCUUAAAUGUUGAACCACGCAACUUAUCAUGUCUGGAUUGUUGACAUUGUUAGUGUGACCCAACCAGAUUGGAGCUACAAAAAAUGAUUGAUUUGAAAGCAACCUAUAGAUUAAUACCCCGGGAAAGAAAAGAAGUAUGUAUUUGAGGAUUUGAAUUUCACGAGUUAGAAAGGAAAGAAAUGACCAUUAAGGGUUGGUUUGAAACCAAUUUGAAAAUUUUCCUACUCUACAACUUUUUUCGAGUUUAGAUGAUGAUUGAAAGUGAUACCGAUCAAAUAUCGAAUAAUCUCAAAUUAUUUAUGGUAGCAUUAUUCUAACAUUGCAAAUUUUUGUCAUGUUCUAUUUGAAUUGUUAGUAGAUAAUCUUACUUGGGACGCCAUGUGCAUGGCAUAAAACAAGAACAAGGAUGACUUGUGUGGAGCUCAUCUCAUUAGCAACAUGUAAGUCGUGGCAUCUAUGACAAAUGGAUGUAAAAAGUUCCUUUUUUCUACACCGUUCACUUUCCUUCAAUCUUCCCUGCAUUCACACCAAAUAAAUGAAAUUUCACAUUCAAUCAAACAAACCAACCACUCAUUCCAUAUUCCAAGCCAAACCCAAAGUCUCCAGCAUCGAUGUUGCCAUGUGUGUGCAUAAUUUCCGCCCCUUUAAUGGGGUUUUUUUUUUUUUUUAGGGCAUCUUGGGAAAUGUCUUGGAUACGUUUUUGAGGGUUUCUAAUGACCCAAAACAUAGCCCAUUUAUCUAUUGUUCAUUCAGUAGAUUGAAGGCCAGAAAUAGGGCACAAGGAGACAAGAAGGGAAGGAGAAAAAUAAGGAAAAAUGGAGAGAUUUCGGGGAAAAAUCAUGAUCAAGCUAAUCUUCAUUUCAAGAGUCCAAUUAUGGGAUGGAUUCUAUAUUUUGCCUUGUAUUUUAUCCUUUAUAUUAUCUAACUUGUAAUGUAUUUCUCUUAACCCUCCUCUUUUAUAUCAUUUAUAAACAAUAAAUUAAGUUCUUUAUGUUGGGAUGGUUGAUGCAGCUUUACUAUAGUGUUAAAUUACUUAUUUUCACAUGUAUUUAAUAUUGUAUUUAAGAAUUUUUAUUUAUUUGGCCGUUAAAUUAUUUUGUAGAGUGAUUUGUGUAUUCUUUGAGAUAAUAUUGUGCAUUUUAGAUCAAAUAAUAAAUACAAUAGGUAUUCGUAGGAGAUGGAAAUAUACUCCUAACCUUAGGAGAUAGCUGGUUAAACUAAUUGAUUUUAUGACUAAUUUCGCUCGAGAGGGGUAAUUAGUUUAAAAAAAAAGGGGGGUCUAACAUACGAAAUGAGUCAUUUGGUUUUUGGCUUGUUGAGAAAUUAAUUAGACAAUGGUUAAGUGAAAUCAUGAAUCCCAGCUACUUUAUCUUCCCAACUUUCCUUAAUUUUUAAUUCAUUCUUUUUUGUUAUUUUCAAAUUCAGAUUUUAAAGUGUUUUUUUUUUUUUUUUGGUGUUAAAAUUAAGUUUAACUACUGCGUAAUUAAGCAAUUAUUUCUCAUUGGAUCGACGAUUUAGAUUCAUUAAUCUACUUUAUUACUUGUAUGUAACCAUGCACUUGUGGUACAUAUUUUUUAGUGAACAUUAUAAAAAGCAUUUUAUUGAAGGGAAGGGGAAUAUCGUAAAGUAAUUAAGUUUAAUAAUGUUUGAAACGAUCACAACGGCCAACAGAAAGAGAGAAAUGAUUUAGCCUUUGGGCCAAGAAUAAGAAUAAAUUAGUACAGGCAGAUCUAAAAGUGUCAAUUUAGCUCGUUGGUUCGGGUGGCCCGUGGCUCAAUCAGUGAAAAGUUCAAGCCGACCCGACUUGCAUCGAGAUGUAAUUUGGAGCAUUGGCUCGAGCCCAAGCUAGAUGAGCCAAUAAUAAUCAAAUUUAAUAUGUUACAAAUUUCAAUGUUCCUCUUCUUGAAUUAUUCAAAUUACAUUGGAAUUCACUAUCUAUUGACAUCCAAAAUAGAUAUAUUAACUAAAAUAAGGAAAAAAAAAAUUGUUUCUGGAAAAAAAAUCAAAUAAAGAGAAAAAAAAAAAAAAGAGAGUUUAUUUAGGUGUCUCAAAACUUUCACUAUUUAAAUUUAAAUAUGUUUUUUAUUAUGUACAAGUUGCUCUUUAAGUUUAAAGAGCAUCUUAGAGAUACUACUUUUCUCUCUCUCUCUCUCUCUCCUACAGCCAAUUUUUCUAUAUUAAUCCCUCCGUCCUAUUUUUUUAGAUUGAAUUUCCUUAUUUUCUUGUCCCAAUUAUAUAGUAUUUUUUGUUUAUUGAGUAUGUUUUAUUUCUUUUACUAAUAUACCAUAAUUACUGCAUAAUUAUAAUUAAUUUUUUUUCCACUUAAUCUUGAAAUUGUGAAACUAUAAAUAAGGGUAGGCUAGGAAGUUUAUUUGGCAAAAAUUACUUUUUCAAUAAUGUUAAAUAAGAUUUCUUAGUCUAUAUAAAAAAUAAAAUCAGCCUAUAUAAACUAAUUGAUUUCGCUCGAGAGGGGUAAUUAGUUUAAAAAAGAAAAAAAGAAAAAAAAAGGUCUAACAUACGAAAUGAGUCAAUUUGGUUUUUGUCUUGUUGAGAAAUUAAUUAGACAAUGGUCAAGUGAAAUCAUAAAUCCCAACUACUUUAUCAUCCCAACUUUCCUUAAUUUUUAGAUUCGUUCUUUUUUGUUAUUUUCAAAAUUCAGAUUUUCACUUUUUUUUUUUUGUUAAAAUUAAGUUUAACUACUGCGUAAUUAAGCAAUUAUUUCUCAUUGGAUCGACGAUUUAGAUUCACUAGUCUACUUUAUUACUUGUAUGUAACCAUGCACUUGUGGUACAUAUUUUUUAGCGAACAUUAUAAAAAGCAUUUUAUUGAAGGGAAGGGAAAAAAGUGUCAAUUUCGCUCGUCGGUUCGGGUGGCCCGUGGCUCAACUAGGGAAAAGUUCGAGCCGGCCCGACUUGCAUCGAGACGUAAUUUGGAGCAUUGGCUCGAGCCCAAGCUAGAUGACCCAACGGGCCAACUCGUGUCAUUUGCAAUUUUCGGCUCGUAAAAAAUUGAGCCUUCAAAAAAUUAAAAAUUAAAAGCUCUGCAAGCAACUACCUGUAUCAGGCAUUACAUGCUGCCUUUGCAGGCUGCAAGCUUGUUGCUUGCGUUAGGUAGCUACUUGCUGCCUCCCUACUUAGAAAAAUAAUCGUGAGCCGACUUGGCCCAAUAAAGCCCCGAACCAAAAGCUCAAGUCCAACCUAGAUUUUUUUUGGCUAAGCAAAACUUCGGUUUAAAUAAAAAAAAUCUCGAACCAUUUUUACUCGAGUGGAGCCCGAACCUCGAGUUUCGGUUCGCGAGCCAGCUCGACUCUGUUUAUUGACAUUCCUAAGCUGAUCUUGACUUUAUUUUUACUUGUUUUUUUUAAAAAGAUAUAUAUAUAUAUAUAUAUAUAUAUAUAUAUUUUUUAUUUAUUUAUUUUUUUUUUUUAAAAGUGGGUUUGACUCUCCAAAUUUUGAGAGCCAAACUCAAACUCAAUUUGCACUUUAUAAUAAUUAAAUUUAAUAUGUUACAAAUUUCAAUAUUCAUCUUCUUGAAUUAUUCAAAUUACAUUGGAAUUCACUAUCUAUUGACAUCCAAAAUAGAUAUAUUAACUAAAAUAAGGAAAAAAUAAAUUGUUUCUGGAAAAAAAAUCAAAUAAAGAGGAAAAAAAAAGAGUUUAUUUAGGUGUCUCAAAACUUUCACUAUUUAAAUAUAAAUAUGUUUUUUAUUAUGUACAAGUUGCUCUUUAAGUUUAAAGAGCAUCUUAGAUAUACUACUUUUCUCUCUCUCUCUCUUCUAAAUCCAAUUUUUCUGUAUUAAUCCCUCCAUCCUAUUUAUUUAGAUUGAAUUUCCUUACUUUUUUGUCCCAAUUAUAUAGUAUUUUUUGUUUAUUGAGUAUGUUUUGUUUUAUUCUUUUACUAAUACACGAUAAUUACUGCAUAAUUAUAAUUAAUUUUUUUCCACUUAACCUUGAAAUUGUGAAAAUAUAAAUAAGGAUAGACUAGGAAGUUUAUUUGGCAAAAAUUACUUUUUCAAUAAUGUUAAAUAAGAUUUCUUAGUCUAUAUAAAAAAUAAAAUUAGCCUAUAUAAAUGGGAUGGAGGGAGUACUAUUUUUUUAUAGUUGACUUAAUUGUUGGAAUAUCAAUGGUGAACUGUCAUUUUUUUUUCUUUUUUUUGGAACAAUGAACUUAGUAUCUAAUGAAUUGUUCAAGUAUGUAGGUAAUAUACGAAUGAAUAGGUAAGAAUGCAACAAUAGAUCUAAUGGUAGCAAGGUUUACAGAUUUUUGAAUUCACCAAAUUGGUGUUAUCUGUAGGUACUAAAUACUGCAAACCACGGGUGAAACGGUGAUACCUCGGUCAGAAGGAAAGAAAGUUCCUUGAGAAAUAUACUUGAAUCAACCAUAAUGGUGUCACCAGUUCCAAUGUUAUCGGAGAUAGUUCCUACCAUUGUAGAAUUAUUUUGAUAGCAUGGGUCCGCUAAGCAUUACUCACUAUAGAAGAAUGAAAAAUUGCGUAAGCAAUAAUAGUAGUAACAACGAACGCAGACACUGAUAUUCUGGUACAGUAAGAUAAAACCAAGGACUAUCGGGAACUAGCCACAGUUGAAGAAAGAGUUCACCAAUGCUUGUACCGGUCAUCACUCCUGCCUAGUCUCAAAGAGCCGUAACUACAAUAUGAGGUAGGAGCCACAUGAGUCUUUCAAGAGAGAAUUUUCAGGGGUUCCGCAUUUAGUUGGUUAACAUCGAGAAUGUGCUCGAUGCAAAGGAUUUGAAGCUCUAUAGUUUCGCUAGAAAAUGAAUAGCAUCUUGGAGAGACUGUUGGAAUAAUUAAUAAUUUCAUAUGUGGGCUUCACAUUCGAUUGCAAAUUUUACGGGUUAGAUGUAUGGCUCAUAAUGAUAUUUGUGUUUGGGCCAAAUUUAUUAAGUGAUCAAUUGGGUCUUUUACACCUUACGGGUUGUCAUUAAUUUGAUGUGGUAAUUGUAAGUAUUUGGGCCGAAAAUAAACCCUAAUUAGAAUUAUAAUCGUAAUGAGACGGCUCAAAUCAUUUUCUAUAUAUAAAGGGUAGGCCCCCUCUCCUCUCCAUACAUUUUUAUUGGUUUGCCCCAUUGAUAGCUAAUGCUUUUGUGAGGAGCAAAGAGAGAAAGAUCUUGACUGCUAUUACAACAAUUAUUCAUAUCAACAAUGGCUUCCGUAGGUAUGAAUUCGUUUCUAUAAAUUUAUUGGAAUGUGAUUGUCGAUUCUUAACAUGAUUAAAACUAAAUAAUAACAAUUGAUAUUAGAGCGGCAUGUUAAGAUCGAAAUCUUUCAUGAAUUAUUAUUUUUUUUUUCUUUUCUGUUCAUAUAUAUUUUCGUGUAUAAUUCAGCCAUCAAAAUCCAAAAUUGCAAAAAUCCAAAAUCCCACCUUUUCCAGAAAAGUCAGCAAACCCAAUGUGCAAAACACUAUCUCUCUCCUCUUUUUAUAUUACGCCCCUAUUUGAGCCCCAUUACAUUAAAUUAUAUUACAUUUCAUUUUUCUCUCUCCUAUCUUCAACCACAAUCUUCCAUAAAAUAAUAUUACAAGUUUCCAAUCGAAAACUUUUCAUUCUUUUUCAACCACUCAUUUUUUAAAAAAACACUAUUCCCCCCAUUAAUUUUUCUACGUAAUGGAGAUCAAACAGAGGCUACAUACAAUGCGUGAACAAUAAAUUUCCCUCUCUCUCCUCCUUUUAUAUGUAUGUAUAAAUGGCUGUAAAGAAACACUUUACAUGGCUGUAAAGAAACAUAGUGUGGGCGACCAACGUGAGAUGCCUAUGCAUAGGAUGUUAACUUUUUGGGCUAUGUUUGAAUUUCUUGAAUGCUAUCUCGUGAUGAAUCAAUGAAUGUAAUUAUCAAAAAAAAAAAAAAAAGCGUUGCAGGGUAAUGCCGUCGGUUGCUGUUGUCUUAGCGGCAGCAACGCCGACUGAAAGUAAAAAAAAAAAAAAAAAUUGUUUUUGUCCUUUUUUUUGGGCAGAGAUGUAGACGGGGGCUUUUGUCAUAAACUAACCAAUCUUCAAACCCCUGUUUGCAAUUAUCAGUUGGGGGUCAUAUUGUAAUUACUUAAAUAAGGACCUGCCAUGCAAUUUUAAAUAUGAAGGACCUGAUUUUAAUUUGUGUUUAGUAUUAAAAUGUAAUUUUCGAUAAGGGGCUCUUAAAUUUGAACUUCUAAACUUUUGACCCUAAAAUUUUAUUUUUGACCAAAUUAAAACUUUAGUUGAUAAUUGACCCGAUUAAAAUAUAUUAGAUAAUAAUAAUAAUAAUUUGAUUGACGACUUUUAUAUUUUUCAUUAAAUUGUAUAUGUAUUUAAAUAUUGCCAUUAUUUAUGCAUUUAAAUUUCAUUUUUUGAAAUUUUGUUGUCAAUUUCGUCUCUCAAUCGCAUAUAAAUUUUUUUUAUUUCAUCAAUUAAUGAUUAUGAUGUGUUGCGUAAUUAUUGUUUUGUGAUCGAAUUUUUAUGGAAUUUGAGACGAUCCUUAUUUUUCCCACAAAGAGAAAUAUUUUGAAAUAAAAAUGGAAGGUAGCUGCCAAAGUGGCACACUCAUUAUUAUUUAUUCGAUUUUCUCUACAGUAAAAUAUAUAUAUAUAUAUAUAUAUAAUUUAUAUGUUUCGAUUUAAAUUACGGAUUAUCUAAUUAAUAACUCAUAUUAAUUAGUUGGAUAUUUCAUCAUCCAUUUGAUUGCAUGCAUUACGUUUGGAUGAUAUUAGAGUGAUAUUUUAUGUUUCCACAGUUUAUAAUGCCUCAUCUCUUUCGAAUCAAUUGUCUGCUAUUGAAACCUUGACUGGGAAUAACUAUGUGAGAUAGAAACGAGACGUAGAAAUAACACUUGAUCUUUUGGGCUUGGAUUUUACAAUAGAGAAAAAGCUUGAGAAACCCAUAGAUAAAAGUACCGUUGAAUAUGUAGUCAAGCAUGAAAAGUGGGAAAGGGCUAACAAACUCUGUUUGAAAAUCAUUAAGCGAUCGAUAUCUGAUUCUAUUCUAGGUGUCAUCCCUAAUAAUGAAAAUGCAAAAGUUUUAUGGAUGCUAUAGGAGAAAACUUUGUUGAGUCUGAUAAAGCCGAAACUGGAGAUCUGAUAAAUAAAUUGAUGAGCAUGAGAUAUGAUGGCACAAGUGGUGUUAGGGAGCAUGUCAUGAAAAUGAUAAAUAUAUCAUCUAAGUUAAAGGCUCUUGACAUCCCAUUGUGGAGCCUUUCCUAGUCUAUCAUGUUUUAAAUAGCCUUCCUAGCAAGUUUAAUCAGCUUAAGGUUGCUUACAAUGCUCAGUGGAAUAAAUGGAAUUUGAAUGACCUCACAGCAGUGUGUGUCCAAAAAGAGUAUAGGAUGCGCCGUGAAACUGUUGAAACUGUGCAAUUAGCUUUUCAACCAUCACAAAAUAAGGGGUCUUCUCAUAAUCAUAAACCUAAGUUUCAUAAGGGUAAUAAGUCUCACCGACGUCACCAGAAUAAAAAUUUUAGUGGUCCCAAAGGAGUUAUAAAGAAAAAUGAUCAAUGCAAGUUUGGUAAAAAGAAGGGUCACUGGCAGAAAGACUGUUUUAAGUUCAAGACUUGGUUGGAAAAGAAGAAGAGUUCUCCAGGUAUUCCCUCGACCUUAGUUUGUUUUGAGUCUUCUUUAGUAGAUGUGCUUUUGAAUUCUUGGUAGUUAGACUCGGGAACUUUUAUUCAUAUUGCGAAUUCCUUACAGGGGUUCACAAGCAAACGAAGGCCAAGUGAGAAUGAAGUAAGCUUGAGCGUUGCAAAUGGAUUUCAAGUGAAGGUUGAAUUCAUAGGAGUGAUGAAGUUAACUUUAGAGUCUGUUUUUUUCUUGUUUUGGAAAAUAUAGUUUAUGUACCACAGAUGAGACGGAAUUUAAUUUCUAUACCGAAACUUGAUGCUUUUGGUUUUACAUUUAAUUUUGGUAAUGGAAUGGUUAAGUUAUUUAAUGAUUCUCGUUUGAUUGGAAAUGACAUUUUAUGUGAUAGUUUAUAUAAAUUAUCUUUGGCUCCUUUUGGUGAUGUCUCAUGUGUUACCAAUGUAUCAAAGAAAAGAACUUUAAUUUGUGAAUCAUCCUCUAUGUUGUGGCAUAAGCGUUUGGGUCAUAUCUCUAAGGAUAGAAUGGAAAGAUUAGUAAAAGAUAAGAUACUUCCCUCCUUAGACUUCUCCGAUUUUGACACCUGUAUAGAUUGUAGAAGAGGAAAGUUAACUAAGUCGAGGAGGAAGGGUUUGACUAGGAGUAAUGAAAUUUUGGACUUAAUUCACAUUGAUAUCAGUGGACUUUUGCCUUCCAUUAUAUGUGGGAAUAAAUAUUUCAUAACCUUCAUUGAUGAUUUCUCACGAUAUGGAUAUGUUUACUUUAUUAACGAUAAAUCACAUGCACUUGAGAAAUUCAAAGUUUUCAAAUUGGAUGUAGAGAAACAAUGUGGAAAAAGUAUCAAAGUUGUAAGGUCUGGCAGUGGUGGUGAGUAUUAUGGGAAAUAUGAAGAGUCUGGUCAAAAUAUGGGUGAUUUUGCAAAGUUUUUACAAGAGUGUGGAAUAGUGCCCCAAUACACCAUGCCAGGGACACCUGAGCAAAAUGGUAUUUCUGAAAGACGUAAUCGAACUCUAAAAUAUAUGGUUAGAAGUAUGAUGAGUAGAACAAAUUUGCCUGAAUAUUUGUGAGGUGAAGCUUUGAAAACAGCUAUGUAUAUUUUGAACAGAGUUCUAAGUAAAGUUGUUGCAAAGGCACCUUUUGAAUUAUGGAAAUGACGUAAGCCAAGUAUGGCUCACUUUAAAGUUUGGGGAUGUCCAGCUGAGAUUAGGAUUUAUAAUCCAUUUGAAAAGAAAUUAGAUCCUAAAUCAACUCCUGACUACUUUAUUGGGUAUCCGGAUAGAUCAAAGGGAUAUAAGUUUUACUGUCCAAAUCGCGGCACUAGAAUUGUGGAAUCCAUUAGUGCUAAGUUUCUGGAGAACGAUUUUGGAGAUAAUGGGAGUUCCACGUUGAGAGAAAUUAUUGUUGAACCUAAUCAAGAUGUUGUUCCAGUUCCUGUCAUACAGGAAAGAGUUAGUUCUCAACCAAUUGAAAUUGUUAAUGAAGAACCGAGAAACCAGGAGGAAUCUCCAAUUCCUCGGACAAUGAUUGAAUCGGUUUCUGAGCCACAAGUUAGGAGAUCACAAAGGGAAAGAAGAUCUGCAUUGCCCAAUGAUUAUAUUAUAUAUUUAUUGGAGAGCGAUUUUAAUGUUGGGCAUAUUGUUGAUCCUGUAACUUAUAACCAAGCAUUGAAAAGUCCUGAGGCAGAUAAAUGGAUAGUUGUCAUGGAAGAUGAAAUGAAUUCCAUGGAAAGGAAUAAAGUUUUGGAUCUUUUUGAACUUCCUCCAGAUGCUAAAACUGUAGAUAACGAGUGGAUUUUCAAAAGUAAAUUAGAUUCAAAAGGAAAUGUUGAAUGAAAGAAAGCAAGAUUGGUUGCAAAAGGUUUCACUCAACGAGAGGGCAUUGAUUAUGUUGAAACCUUCUCCCCUAUUUCGUCAAAAGAUUCUUUUUGAAUUAUCAUGGCUCUUAUGGCACACUACAAUUUGGAGCUUCAUCAAAUGGAUAUUAAGAAAGUAUUUUUGAAUGGAGAUCUUUCUGAAAUGGUUUAUAUGAAACAACUGAAGGUUUUGCUGUGAAAGGAAAAGAAAACUUGGUGUGUAAGUUAAACAAAUCAUUGUAUGGACUUUAGCAAGCAUUUAAAUAGUGGUAUUUGAAGUUUGAUGAGGUUGUGACAUCUCUUGAUUUUGUCGAAAAUACUAUUGAUCGAUGCAUUUAUCUUAAAACCAGUGGGAGAAAUUUUAUUUUCCUUAUAGUAUAUGUUGAUGACAUUCUGCUUGCUAGCAGUAACUUAGGGCUGCUUCAUGAGAUAAAGAAAAUGUUGUUUACUAAUUUUGAGAUGAAAGAUCUUGGAGAAGCUUCCUAUGUACUUGGCAUUGAAAUACACCAUGAUAGAAAUCGUGGCUUAUUGGGACUUUAUCAGAAUGCUUAUAUAUGACGUGUUCUAGAAAUGUUUAAUAUGCAGAAUUGUACACCUGGUGAUGUACCUAUCAUAAAAGGAGAUAAAUUUGACAAAACUCAAUGUCCAAGGAAUGAGCUGGAAAGGGAGUCUAUGAAGAUGAUCCCAUAUGCUAGUACUGUGGGGAGCUUGAUGUAUUUUCAAGUUUGCACUAGACCGGAUAUAGCCUAUGCAGUAAGUGUCCUUAGCAGAUUUCAGUCUAAUCCAGGACAAAAGCAUUGGAAAGCAGCUAAGCAAGUUAUGAGAUAUUUGAAGAAAAUUGAAAGUUAUAUGCUUACAUUCCAGCGUACAAAUUAUCUUGAGGUGGAAGGAUAUUCAGAUUCUGAUUUUGCUGGAUGUCAAGAUGAUUUGAAAUCAACCUCAGGUUAUAUUUUUACAUUAGCUAGUGGUGCCAUUUCUUGGAAAAGUGAUAAACAGACUCUAGUGGCAUCUUCUACUAUGCAAGCUAAAUUUGUGGCAUGUUAUGAGGUUAUAGUCCAAGCUGUUUGGUUAAGAAAUUUCAUCUCUAGCUCAAAAGUUGUUGAUUCCAUCUCAAGACCGAUCACCAUCUAUUGUGAUAACAGUGCAGCAGUAUUCUUUUCAAAAUAAUAAAAGUUCUGGUGGAUCAAAACAUAUUGACAUCAAAUAUUUGGUUGCUAGAGACAGAAACAAAGAAGGGCAGACGAAAAUAGAGCAUAUCAAUACAGAGGCGAUGGUUGCAGAUCCCUUGACUAAGGGACUCGCUCUAAAAGCCUUUAAGACACAUGUCACUAAUAUGGGCAUUGUGGAAACAUUUGAUAUUUUUGGUUAGUGGAAAUUAUAUAUAUGUAAAGAACUACGUUUUGGACUUGAUCCCUUUACGGGGUACGUAGGCAUCCCAUAUGUUUUCGGGUACUGCCCCUUCUGAUAAAAUAAUUUUUCCCCUAUCCAUAAACUAUUCUGAGCAUGCAUUUGACUUAUGUCUUUUCAUAAUAUUACUAUGAUCUCGAAAUAUGACAUAUAAAGAUAUAAGAUGAGUCUCUUUUGGAGACACGUGGCUUCAUUUUGAUUCGAAGCAUUAUUAGGAUCGAUAUGAGUUAGCACAGUUUUUUGAUCACAUUUGGUACUAAGUUAAUACCACAUACUACCACAUUGGUUAGAGGAUGAGGAUCCAUGUCGAUAAGGAUGUUGACAUUUGUAGUUGUGGGAUGAUCUUACAUCACUUAAUUGGUGUAAUGACUUCCAUGUUCGAUGUUAAUAUUCUUGUUGGACCGGAUCAUAUUAUGUAAGGUGUCAUCAUUGGAGCUAUACUUUUGUGGCCACCUAUGUAGUCUAACCCGGGCGUUGAAACUUUGUUAUAGCAAUCAAAUGUUUGCCCAAGUGGCAGAAUGUUGGAAUAAUUAAUAAUUCCAUAUGUGAGCUUCAUAUUUGAUUGCAAAUUUUACGGGUUAGAUGUAUGGCUCAGAAUGAUAUUUGUGUUUGGGCCAAAUUUAUUAAGUGACCAAUUGGGCCUUUUACACCUUACGGAUUGUAAUUAAUUUGAUGUGGUAAUUUUAAGUAUGUGGGCCAGAAAUAAACCCUAAUUAGAAUUCUAGUCGUAAUGGGACGGCUCAAAUUAUUUCCUAUAUAUAAAGGCUAGGCCCCCUCUCCGCUCCAUAUGUUUUAUUGGCUUGCCCUAUUGAUAGCUAAUAAUUUUUUGAGGAGCAAUGAGGGGAAGAUCUUGGCUGCUAUUACAACAAUUAUUCAUAUCAACAAUGGCUUCCGCACGUAUGAAUUCAUUUCUAUAAAUUUAUUGGAAUGUGAUUGUCGAUUCUUAACACGAUUAAAAUUAAAUAAUAACAGAGACGUCCACAAUAAAUAUUCGAAGACCAGAAGUUAUUUCAUUGAUAUAAUCAAAUAUUAAAUCUUCAUUGAGAAGGUCGAAGAAAACUAGAAGAAGUUCACUAGAGGAAAGUAGGAGGAACAUGUUCUUAUACCUACUACAACUACAACCACCAAAGCUCGCAAUUAACUUCGAAAUUCUUCAGGAUACAUCAAAUGUGUGACAUAAUACAUAGGAAUGUAUGAAACUGUAUCUAGAGAAGAUCUUGUGGACCGACGGCAUAAUCAACAAGGCAUCUAAGCAAGGGAAAUCGCCCCAAUAGGUCCUUCUCUACCUAGACAUGAGAAUCAGCCAAGGAUGGUGAUGGUCGUACCAUAUGAUGAGAUAAACCAUCGAGAAAUGAUCAGUCCUCGAACAACAACACUAACUAGUGUGAAAAAUUAAUUCAACCAUUAGUAGGUUCUUUGUAGGAGGUAAACGAUGAACUUUCCAAGGAAUUGCAUGAGGGAGGAUAUAAAACUACCCCAAGAGAGUUGAUAGGUACAAGGAAAUCAUCCAAGGCAUAUCACUUUAAAAGAAAAGGCGAAUGGGGUUUUACUAACAAUAUUGUAAUGCACUAGCGGUGAGAGUCAAGAAAAAUGCUCAUUGAUGACGAGGUCCUGUCAACAUUUUAUUCGAAAGCGCCUUCAAUUAAAUUGAGGCUGAUUAAGAAUUCAUCUCGAUGUCGUAGUAACUUUUUAGAUUCAUGAGCAACAACCUCAUCUCUCUACGUGCAAUAAGUUUGGGAGUAGAAAUAAGGGGAAGAGCUAAAUAGGGAUAGAGGUAAACGAAGUUCUUCAUCAUGGAUGCUAGAUCCUCCUAUCAUGGAGUUCUAGGGCAAAUGAUUUUAAAGGAUUUACGGUCAAUCCAUGAAACAGAUGUAAACAUUCUCCAUUUAUCUUGAUAGGGAGACAUGAAUACUACAAAUUAAAAUUGGUCAAUUAGAGGAAUUGAAAGUGUAAGUAUUAUGCCCCAGGUCCAAUCAACUUUUGACAUAAACACUUUUAAUGUAUAAUUAAUGCAAUUUAUGGCAAAUCUAUUAUUUAAUUAAUGUUCAAUUUAUUUAAUUUUGACGUAAACACUUUUAAUGUAUAAAAAAAAAAGAGGCGGUCAACAACGGCACAGUAGGCGACAGCGACAACAAAGUGCUACUAGGUGCAAAGGCAGCAGCGACAGCCCAAGAAAUUGAAGCACGAAGUGCUGCAAUCACACAAUAGUACUGUACUGCUGUAGCGAUGGAUGCCAUCGCUGUCAUAUAGAGGUGACGAUCCACUGCACAUUGCCCAAGGACAUCACCAUGAGUGCUGCCCCUUUUUUCAAUUUUCAUUUAGGGUUUUCUUUCGAACGGGAGACGUGAAUUGGAAUGGGGGCAUGCCUUUCAAUUUUCGAAAUCGUAGGGCCUCUACCUUAAAUUUCAUUAGGGGGUCAAUGUGCAAUUUUUAAAAAGAGGGGCAUUUCUAUAAUUUACGAAUUUGGAAAGCUCUAGUAUUAAUUUUAAAAUCGGGUUGGAUUGCAAUUUUUCAAAAGGGUUUUAAAUGCAAUAUUUCAAAUGGUUUUGAAAUUGAAUUUCAAAUGGGUUUUGACCUAUAUUAUCUAUUUUGACCCAAGUUAAAUUUUAUUUAAAAAUGACGACCUUUUAUAUUUUCGUUAAAAUUGGAUUUUAACUUGAAUAGUAAAUUUUGAUCCAAAAUUGAAUUUUGUUUUAUUUAAGAAUUUCAUCCUAAAUAACAAUGUUAAUUCAAUUUAAAUUAGAGUUGGACUCUAAUUUAGUAGUUAAUCAAAUUUGAUUUUAAUUAAAUAAUUCACCCUAAUAUGUUCUUGAAAAUUAAAUUGGAUUCUAAUUGGAUAUUUAAUUAAAAUUUGAUCUUAACUAAAUUGUCCUGCCAUAAUUUAUUUUCUUGAAAUUGGAGAAUCUAAUUUCAUAUUUAAUUAAAAUUUGAUUUUAAUUAAAUAAAUUCGCCCUAAAUCUUUGAAUUAGAGUUGGGCUCUAAUUUUGCUAUUUAAUUAAAAUUUGAUUUUAAUUAAAUUCAACCGCAUUAAGUUUUGAAAUUAGAGUUGGACUCUAAUUUGAUAUUUAAUUAAUAUUUGAUUUUAAUUAAAUAGUCUUGCCCUAUAAUUGUGGAAUUAGAGUUGAACUCUAAUUUGGUAUUUAAUUAAAAUUUGAUUUUAAUUAAAUAUACUCGCUAAUUAAAUUAAUUGAUUAAUAUUAUUAAUUAAUUGUUUAAUUGCUCCAAUCCAUUUGUUUAACAUAAUUUAGACGACCUUAAUUGCUAAAAACUUGAAACAUAUUUGUAUAUAAUAUUAAAUAUUAUAUAGGAAUGCAUUUAUAUAAUGAAUGCAUUAUUAGUGGACGAUUAUGAACUUGAUCAUGUGGAUGUAUUGAAUGAUUAAUUUUAUUCUUGUCAUUUUAUGAGCCUAUGAGUUUGUUAUUAUUAUGGGCCUGGGAACUCUUAAUCAUUUCGGACCUGCGAAUCCAUUGUUGUUAUUAUUACUAUGGGCCUGUGUGUUCAAUUUUAUUUAGACUUACGUGCCAACAAAUAUGGAUACAGGUUAUAGCUGGUUGAUUGAAGAUGUAAGAAGAGGGAAAAAUCAUAGAGAUGGUGCAUUGAUACUCAUCGAUAUAUAUAUGUUGCAUGGUAGAUGUAUAAUAAAAUAUAUAGAUUGUUACGAUGAGACAUUUGAAUGCAAAACCUCUCAAUAAAAUAUUAAAUCACAUUUUAUAUUCGCCUUUCAUCAUUAUAGUGAAAAAAUAGAGUCCUCAACCGAUUUUUUUCGUCAAAAAAAUGAAAGUCGCUUGCUCGCAUCCAUCCUCUAUUACACUGUCGGAACAAAAAUACAGCUUAUUGAGUACACUCAAAAAUGGUCUAUUAUGAAUAUGUUUAAUACUAUGAAAUAUUAGAUAUUUCUAAAUGAUGAUUUUGACUUAAAAACUAAAAUUUAUCUUUUUUUAAGCACACUUAAGGAGAUGAAUUUUAGAGGCACGUUAUGCUAACACAUAAGAUGCGUGAAGACAAGAAAUUGUUAGCUUAAUGAUCUGAGAGUUGUAUGGAGAUACAAUUAAUAAUAGUAUCUACCCAAAUAUUUUAUUAAGGCUUGUUGAGUACACUCAAAGUCUUAAUAUAACAAAUGGGAUCCCAGCCCACUGAGAAUGAAGUAUGGAUUCCAUAAAUUUAUGAGAGAGGGUUAUAAAUUUAAGUUAAAUAGUUGGAACAUAAUUAAUUUAAUAAAAGUUCAUGUUAAAUUAAUUGAUGCAUUUUAUAUAUUAUUCACUUUCGUCAUUUAUAUUGAAUUUUAAGUAACCAUAUGUAUUUGAGAGGCAUACUAAAUGCCAACAUUCAAACCAAAUUUUCUUGAUUGACACUACAAUCUCAGGCAUGGAAAAAUUGGUUAUGUCCUUAAGUAGCCCUUUCCAGAGACGCAUGAUGAUGACUCGUUAAGGAAGAGAUGGCUACUAUAAUAACACAGUGAUGACAAUAUUACUGUAACAUAUGUGAUGUUUACGUUACGCCACCUGAGUUACAAAAGAAACAUAAGAGUAUAUAUACUAAUACAUGAUUUUUCAUUUCAAAUAGUUGUAUGAUAAUAAUCAUGUGUGGAAGGAUAUGAGACUUCCAAGCUACUAUACCAGUGCAAAAUGACAAAGCGAUUUUCGGUCAAUGCUCAUGAACUGAAGAUGAUUGGCAUUGAGGAGUUGUCUUAAUUGAGUUCAAUAAUGAACUAUGAAUUAAGUAUUGAACCAGUUCUGUAAUCUCUAUCAUAGAGUUAUUUAUACUAAUUAUGAUAUGAUUAAACUCGAAUGCACACUCAUUGAGUUGCUCAACAUGUUUAAGACUGUUAAUCCCUAUAUCAAAGUUAGUAGUAGGCAAGCCAUUGAUUCCUCUAAAGGUAUUAAGAGGAAGUCUAAAGGGGCUUUGAGAAAACAUCCAAUAUGGAUAAGACCGUCAAAGUGAAGGAUAAUAUCAAAUGUAAUGACCCUUGGUUUCAUUAUAGAAUGAAAAGGUCAUUAGAAGAAACAUUGCAAGACUUAUGUCUACUUCAUGAGAUUCUUAAAUAUUUGAUACCAGAUGUGGAUCUCAUAUUUAUGUAAAUAUAGAGAAACUAAAUAGAAGUAGACAACUACAAAAGGAAAAAGUUGACUUGCACAUUGAAGAUGAGCAAAGGUUGCUACAUUACCUGUAGGAGCAUACCUUUUGCCAUUACCUUUAAACUGAGUACUGGAAUUAGAAAAAUAUUACUUUAUACCUACCAUAACUAGAACAUUAAAUGAAUUUCAUGUUUGGACAUGAACUAUUUUAAUGUUAAAGAUAAUUGUUGUUCCUGUUUACCUUCAUAGAGAUCUUAAUGGUUAUGGUAAAUUAUAAAACGACGUUUAUAUUCUAAAUACUAAGCAUUCUAUAAUGAGUAUAGAAGUUAAGAGACACAAAAGUGAUAAUCUGAAUAAUAUCAAAAUCUGACACUGUGAAGUUGGCUAUAAAAAUGAAAUGCAAUUCCAAAAUUACAUAGAGAUGUAUACGUGGGGUCAAUUGAUUUUGAAUCAUUUGACAAGUGCAAAUCAUGUCUGUUUAGUACAAUGACAAAAUCUCCUUUUACUUGAAAAGGAGAAAGGUCUGUAUAAAUAGUGGCUUAAUACAUAGUGAUGUAAACGGGCCCAUGUCAACUAAUGUCAAAUGAAGUUUCUCUUAUUUUAUCAAUGAUCAUGUAUACUUGAUGAAAUUCAAGCAUGAAGCUCUUGAAAUAUUCAAAGGAUUCAAGCUAAAAGUAGAGAAACAAAUAGGUAAAGGUAUCCUCACACUAAGAUCCGAUCGAUGUGGGAAUAUGAUAAGAGUGUAAACUAUGAUAGUUUGCCCUCUUAAUUGUUGCAUUCGCAUGAUUAUUUGAUAUCAAAAUGCACUAUUUACUCUUAUGUUUUGAUUUAGGUCACAAUUUGAUGGAAAAACCAAAAUUUGGAAGAAACGAAUGAAAAAUGGCAAAGUGGAAGAAAAUGAAAGUUCGGGGACUAAAGUGCAAAUACUCCAAACUUGUGUAUAAUCUUAUGAUGAAGAUUCGAGAGUGUUAGAGGUCAAGCGGAUGAGGAAAGAUGUCAAGUGUAUGAAAUACAGUCAAAAUAUGAUCACACGUCAAUUUCCAAUCGAAAAAGUUGUGAUCGAUUUUCAGCCUUAUCUUAGGACACAUUUUUGACAUGGUAAACUAUCGAAUUGGAAGAUGAUGUCUGAAGAAAAGUCGUAGCCUUUUGAGUUAUCUUUCUAACAACUUAAAUCAUCUCAAUUGGACAUCGGGAGAGAAGUUAUGGCCAAAAUACUAAAAGUUGUUCGACAGAGAGCCAUGCGACCACAUGGGUGUUUUUCGAGGGCGAAAUCUCAGAUUCCUAUAAGCCAUGCGACCGCAUGGGUGUUUUUCAAGGGUGAAUCUCAUAUUCCUAUUUUGACGUGGACACUUAUAGAAACUUGUUUGGCACACGUUUUUAAGUCCUAAUCUCGACCCAGAAUGUCAUUCUUCCUCUCCACAUCAAUUUUCUCUCAUUUUGGGUGAAGAAACUUCAUAGAAGGCUAGAAAUUCUUGGUGGAGCAAGGGGGGAACUCGAUUGGUAUCGAUUAUUUCAACGUUUCUCAUACUUGUAAUAUGAUUUUCAUUGCUAAACAAUUCUAGAUUUGGGUUUCUUGUUCUUAUAAAUAUGUUUUGAGAUUUAUUUAAUAUAUAUUAGAUUUUCAUGGAUCUAAUCAUGUUCUUUUUCAUCGAAUAAUUGAAGUAGAUAUUGAAUUUCAAUUUCAAGCAUUGUUGUGAGAUUGAUUUAACUUUCACUAUAUUUUACAUAGAUUUAAUCAUGUUUUAUCUAUCUUGAAAUUAACUUAAUUGUUAAAUUUCAAUUUCAAUUAUCUAUUGCUGUGAUUCUCUAUGAUUUUAUGCUUGAUGUAUAAGGUGGAUUUAGAAUCUGAUUUUAAUAGAUUAAAGUGGGUAUAUGUUAUGGGAAAUCCAUAUUUUAGAAUUACUGUAGAAUAAAAUUGGGCCUUAAUGUUAUAUUCCUCAACUAAAGUUUGAUAAAACAAUCUUUAAUUGAGUGCAUGAAUGCAUGAUUGACGUUGAAUGAUCCGAACCAAUCGAGGAAAUCCUGACACUUCACUAUUUCAUACUUUGAUUCAAAUCCCGUAAAUUCACAUAUUAACAUUUGAACACAUUUCAAAUUGAUAUAUUAUCUGCUAUACAACUCACAACGAAAAUCCUAGUUUGUUGGACCAUUUAAUUAAUUUCCCAUCUCCCUUUAGAUACGACACCUCAAAACUAUAUUACAAUCACCGCGUUACACUUUGGGCAUAAUCAAAAUAUCUUAAAAAUGAAAUUUAGAUUAUCUAAAAGAGAAUGGGAUUCUCUUGUAGUGAACUUCCCCACAUACAUUGCAACGUAAUGGUGUAUCUGAAAGGAGGAAUCAUAAACUAUUAGAUACAGUGUGAUUAAUAACAAGCCAUGCAAACAUCCCAAAAUCGUUUAGGGCUCAUGCACUAAUUACAGUGUGCUACACACUAAAUUUGGCCUAUCUAAAUUGGUCAACAAAACUCCAUACGAGUUAUGAAAAAAGAAAAAGUCCCAAUUUAACUCAUGAAAGUUUGGGGCUGUGAUGCUUGUUUGAAAUGCUCUGAAUUGGAUACGUUUAGGACUAAAUCCAAUAAAUAUAUAUUUGUGGAAUAUCCAAAAUAAAUAUUUGGAUAAUAAUUCUAUUAACCCAUUGAGAAGAAAGUCUUCGCCUUACGACAUAUCAUCUUCUUAGAAAGAUGUUUACUCUAGGAGAGGACAAUGUGAGCAAAAUAGAACUUGAAAGAGUUCAAGAGUCCACAAAUAUAAUUGACCAGAUAGAUAAAUCUGAGUUUGAUCACAUGUCUGAUGAGGGACAUACUCUUGAUCAGGAAGUAGAGACUUUUGAGGAUAUGACAGCUCCAUUUAAAUCUAGUAUGAUUAUUCGACCUUCAAGAAGGUGCCAAUCCACGAUUACUAAUCAAGUUUUAUUAAUUAGGGAUGAUGAACUUGCUAAUGACACAGAAGUAGAGUCAAGUGUUGACUCAAAUAGAUGGUAAGAGGCCAUGGGAAUCUGAAAUGAACUCAAUGUAUGAAAAUUAAGUUUGGACUUUGGUCGACCCUCAUGAUGGGAUAAAACCCAUAUAUUUUAAAUGGUUUAUAAGGUAAAGUUUGACAUGGAUGGGAAUAUCCAUACAUACAAAGUAAGGCUAGUAGAAAAAAAUUACAGAUAAAAACAAAGUGUUGACCUUGAUAAAAUCUUUCACCUGUAGCCAUGCUGAAGUCCAUUCGAAUUUUGGUUGCAAUAGUUAUAUGUCGUGACUAUGGGUUAAAGCAAGCCUCUUGAAGCUGAAAUUUUCGAUUUAAUGGAAAAAUCAAAAGGUUUGAUUUAUCAAAUAUGAAAACGAAUUAUGUGUUUACAAGAAGAUAAUGAGAGCAUUGUCACAUUUCUAAUAUUAUAUGUAAGACAUAUUAUUAAUAGGAAACGACAUUCCUAUGUUUUAAUCGUUGAAAUAAUAGCUGUUAAAUGUUUUUUCAUGAAAGAUAUGAGACAAGCAACUUGAUCUAUAGAGAUAGAUUUAGAAAAUUGCUUUACUCAUCCCAAUCUUCAUAGAUAAAAUCUUGAGAACCGUUGGUUCUAAACGAUGUGUUGAAAAGGUUUUAAAUGUGAAACAACCGUUGGUUCAAUAGCAGAAACCUAAUACGUGAUUAUUUCAGAAACACCAAAGAGUUGUAGUGUGGAUCAAGAUGUUCAUUAAUAAACUUGGAGUAGUUCCUAACAUUGUUGAUCAUAUGUCAUUGUAUUGUGAUAACAAUAGAGUCAUCGUAUAAGUGCAGAAACUAAGGUCUUAUCAAUGAUCCAAAUAUGUAUUAAGGUAGUAUCAUUUCAUCAAAGAGAUAAUACAAAAAAAUGACGUAAACAAAGGAAAAAAUUUCGACAAUUGAAAAUAUUGCAGAUCCACUAACAAAAAGUUGUCUCAUUAUAAACAUGACAAUCAUGUAGAUUCUUAUGAUAUUAGAUACAUAAUUGAUUGGAUCUAGUACAAGUGGGACUUUGUAAGUGUUAUGUGCUAAGCCCAAUCAACUUUGGACAUAAACACUUUUAAUAUACAGUUGAUGCAAUUUAUGAUAGAUCUUUUAUUUAAUUAAUAUUCAAUUCAAUUAAAAUAAUAGAGUCCAUAGAUUCAAAUCUUGGAAAUUUGUUAAUCACAAGGAGUUGUGACUAUGAGAAAUAAAUUACAUAUGAUUGAAUCAUAAAUUAUUCAUGGUCAUAAGUAAUAACUAGAUACAGAUAUUUUUAUUACGGAUAGAUCAUCACAUGUGGUAUUUCUUACUUGUGAAGUAAGUAGAUAAUCUCAUAAGUUGAGAUGUGUUGACACUUAAAUGAAAUGUGGACGUUUUGUUAUAGAACAAAAACGUUGGAUACCCUCUAAGAGAUUCUAUAUAGAUAACUAUCUGAAUGUCAAUGGUUAAUCUCUAACGUUCUGUAGUGAAAUUAGUCCUUUGACUUGAGGUCAUCAUAGUGCCUUAUGUGAGGGCAAUCAUACUUUGGUGAUGUUGGAUGUUGCUCUGCCAAGGGCCGUGAAUAUGGCAUCGUUCGGGUAUGUCAAGAAUUAUAGGAAAGUUGUGAAUGACAAAAAGAGGAUUCGUCACUCUUAGAUAGUAAGAGAUUAUGAUCCAUAUUUCAUUCAGUUAAGUUGAUAACAAAAUCCUUAGCUAAGGUGUACUCAUAAGUCGAAAAUGAGUUUUCGAUUUACAUUGACUUAAUAGUGGAAUGAAAGAUAUGAUCGAUAAUCGAAUUGACACACUUCUAUAUCUCGUAAUUGAUCAGAUCAUAUUGACGAAAUGAUUAUAGUUUCACGGUAAACGAUCAAGUUUGGUUUUGUCAUACCACGUGAAAUUUUUCGUCACAUGUAUUACCCUGACACAUUGCUAGAUGUCAUUCUGGGACGGUGAAUAUGAAUUAGUGAUAAAUUAAAUUGGAUGUUUUAAUUUAUCAUUUUUGAUUAAAUCAAAAUAAUAAUUAACAUCGUUAAGCAUCGUGAUCGGUAACUGAUGGGUCACACAUAAAAGGAAAACUAAAAGAUUGUGUUUUACCAAUUAAUUAAUUUAACAAAUAUUGGAUAAAUUAAAUAUUUGGGUCGCUUAUAUUAUAGGCCCGAAUGAAUAAUUGGGUUGCUUAUUUAUAUAUAUAUAUAUAUAUAUAUAUAUAUAUAUAUAUAUAUAUAUAUAUGUUUUUUGUNNNNNNNNNNNNNNNNNNNNNNNNNNNNNNNNNNNNNNNNNNNNNNNNNNNNNNNNNNNNNNNNNNNNNNNNNNNNNNNNNNNNNNNNNNNNNNNNNNNNNNNNNNNNNNNNNNNNNNNNNNNNNNNNNNNNNNNNNNNNNUAUAUAUAUAUAUAUAUAUAUAUGAUUUUUGUCUCAAUUUUGUUCCUUGUAUGAAUUUUCAUUGGAGGUUGGACAAUUAGACAACUGCGAGUGGCAGGUUAAGAUUGUUGGAACGAAAGAAGCGCAAAGGAGGUUGUAUAAUUUUUUUUUAAAAAAAAAAGGUACGAUUUCUAUCACUUCUUCUGUCCAAACAAAAAGUAGAUCCUUAGUGGAAAUUGAAAUUUGUUUUAUUUUCGCUGUGCAUGAUUAAGUAAAUUCCCAACAGAAAGGAAAGAUGAAAUAAUUAAAUAAUUCUUGUAUGCUAUCUUGAAUGUUGUUGCUUGGAAAAAUUCAAACAUGGUAGGAAUUGAUCUCGUUAUGACUUUCCAUGCAUAUUGAAAGUUGAUAGAAAAUUAUGGUACGGAGUUAAAAAAAUUGAGGCCUUUGUAUGGAGAAAGCUAUAAAGCAUUGAAACAUGAAGUAGACAAUGUGACCAAUGAGUUUAUUUGGGAAGCAACAUACCCCAAAUGAGGGGGAAGUCCAUAGCUGACAUUUUUGUAGAGUUCGCAAACCAUUCGGAUGAGACUCCAGCAUAAAAAUUGUAUGUUGAUGGGUCCAAAGAAGAAAUAUGGACGAACAUAGGAUCCUUUAUCAUGAGCAUGAAAGGGCAACAAUGGAAAUGAGGUCAAAGUUCUAUUGGCAUAAUUGAAACUCGCAAGGAAAUGAAUGUUAAGAUAAUUCAGGUGUACAUUAACUCGAAAUUGGUGGUGAGUCAAGUCAAUUGUAAAUUAUUGCAUGUGAACAAACAAUAGCCUAUUUAUUAGAAGAAGGUGAUGAACUUCGUGUAAUACUUUGAAAAGACUGAACUAAUCCAAAUCCUGUGCAAACUAAUGAAAUUCGUACGAUUGGAGCAUUGAUGAAGCCACAAUCGAAAUGUGUAAUACCUCGAACCUUACAAUAUAUCUUUGGGUAAUAUGAUUCAUGCAUAUAUGCUAUUUCCAAUGUCAUUUGAAUAUUGCAUCAAUUUUUCUAAUUACCUUCUGCAGAAAAUGGUGCAUUUGAUCAUUGGGGUUUUAAGACCUUGAUAUGGUGUUAGUCCUUUACUCCUCGAUCGAAGUGGUGAAUUUUAAAUUGAGCUAUGGUAGAGAAAUAGAUUAAUUUGUAUAUUGAAGAUUGACUUGCUAAGCAACGAGAAUAUUCAUAAGGCUGGAGUAGUAUCGACAAAGUUGCAAGUUUUCAAUUCGAUUGAUCAAGGUAACCAUAAACUCUAGAUUGGUGAGUGACACAAUUGGUACAUGAGGCAUGAAGUAACAUGAUCACAAUGCAAUAAGAUAAGGUUUAUACGAUGUUAUAAACAUUGAGGUGCGAACCGUUGAAAUUGAUCGAGAAGCGGGGGUCAAUUGGGUAAGUACUGAAUGAAAUGUUAAUGAAUUAGCUCUAUAAAAUAUUUUGGAAUCUUAGGGAAGGUAAGAUGAUUUUAAAGACAUUAAAAUAAGCUAAGUACACUUGAUUUGUAUCUACAAGGAUAGAGGUAAAAUCAGAUUUCCACUACAAGGGACACCUUAUGCUCAAUACACCUCAUGCCUGUCGAUUUGUCCUUGUAAUGGUCAAUUCCUUCACUAUUAGGCAUUAAUCACUUCUAAAACUCUCUUAAAGCUUCAUAUAUUUAGUAUAUUAUCCAUAAGUUUCAUACAAAUCCUUCAUGGAUAUGUACAAAAAAUCGAAAUGCAACUUGAAGACGACACCUCCUGCUUAACAUCUUGUGACCUGUCAUUUUAAUAUCCAAUUCCUUCAACAUUAAGGCUUUAUCACGUUUUUCUAAACACUUAGGAUAAAUAUUCAUCUUCUAGGUCACAUAAGACUCCGUAUGUGAUGAGGGAAAGGUCCAAUUUUGCUGCAUGAAGAUACCUCGUGCUUGAACACCUCAUACUUGGAGACACAUGUUGUUUAAUCACCAAUUUCUUCAUCCUUAAGUAUCAAGCACAACCCCAGACCUUAAGACUCUUUAUAUAGCCCCUAAACAAGACAUUUAACCCCCCCCCCCCCCAAAGUUAUCCUCAAGUGACCCCAAGUGAAAGAGAAGGCAAAGGAAAUAAAGGGAGAUAGAAAACGAAAAGUUGGGACUGUCAAUUUGGGCAGGUGAGUUUAAUUCGCGAUUUUGGAAGAUUUUCUUUAAUUUCUUUGGGUGUUUUAUAGCCUCUUAAACCUCUAGACUUUCUUGAGAUCAUGUGGAAAGUUUGAUGAUUUAAUCAUAACAAAAGAGGAGUAAUUGAUUGCAAGAAUUUGGGUGAAACAACCAAAGAUCGAAAUCGGAUAGUUGCUGGAUUUUACUAGUUUCACAUUCGGUGUUAUAUAAUAGUUUGAAUGGAACACAUAUUUAUCACUUUGAAUAUUUUUAUAUGAUGAAUGAUUCUUAAUGACCUAAAGUCUGAUUUGGUGGCAUGCUAAUACAAUGGAAAUCAAAAAUAGUCAAAGGGAAAUUGUUAGAUUUCGCUUUUCGUAAAAUGGAUUGUCUUUGAAUCUUUAAAUCCUUCACUUGUCGCAACCUUUUCGCAUGAUUACCUUUACAUACAUGUCAUGAAGUGUGGUAAAAAUUUGAGAAUUAAUGGAUAUGGUUAAGGGGGGUAAAAAGGGAUUGGAAAAAUAAGGAAACGGUGAUGAAAACCCGAAAAAUAGAUUCUAUCCAUUUGAAUAUUUGAAUUAGCUUCAAUAUUUACAUCUUCAUUUGUUAUCUCCUAGGCUUGGAAAGUAAAUUUUAAGGAGUCCUAGGUUGUUGAUAACAAUUAGAUGAUGUUGACACACAUAAUUGAACUCUAUAGAAGCACGCACACGAGGGUGAAAGGUAAGUAAAAUCUAUUUACAACUAUGAUGCAAGAACAUAGUAUUCAUGAAAUAUUAUCUAUAGAGUAUUGUUAUAACAUUUAUAUGACAUUGACAAGAAGAUCAUGGCAUACCACAUGAUGGUUAUGAUGAUUGCGCAUGUGGCUCCGAAAACAUAUUGAUUGAGCAUGUCAUUCAUGAGCAUUUGCACGUACAUGCAUGACAUAUGUCUAUCAUUAGAAAGUUAGCAUGCAAGUCAUGAUUGAAAAAAUGAAUUUACUUUAUAAAAUGUUUUAUUGACAACUACGAGGGCAUCGAGGCAUAUCAAAUAUGCUUAUGUGACAUGUUUUGGCAUCGUGGGUAAGACUUUCUAGGUGAUCUCAUGGGCAAAUAGGAGAUGUGCCUUUGGUGAUCACAGGAGGGUGGACCACUUGAUUGUGCCUUUGUGAUAUUAUGAUUAUUGAUACUGCGGGUGGGAUAUUUCUUGGGUGAUCAUAGGGAAGUUGGGGAUGUGCUUCUAGUUAUCACAAAAGGAUGGUCCACUAGACUGUAUCGAUAUAAUAUUGGCUAUUGGAUUAUUGAUCGUUAACAUUUAAAUUGUGCCAGAGCUCUAUCCGGUGCAUAGUAAGUGGGUCAAGGGCUAAAUGAAAUAAAAUGAUUUUGAUAAUGUUGGAAUGUAGAGAAACACCCGACCAAGUUGUGAAAACUAUGGAGAAAGUGAGGGCAGCGGAUGUUGAUGUAAUGACUUUUGGUUAGUACAUGAGGCCUUCGAAGCGCCACAUGCCAAUAUUGAAGCUGAGCAAAUUGAGAAGUGGUAGAGCAGAUCUUCAGGGUAAUCAGCCUGGUGAUCUUUAUUUUAUAAUCAAGGCUACUUGAUUUGUCCCUUCAUCUCCAAUGCCAUUGUUUAUGUGCAAUUUGUAGUUUGGAUAGUUUAUUAUAGUUUUAAGCUUUAUAAAGGAUGCAACAGAAAUUCUUCAAUUCCUACUCCUUUUUAGUUAGGUGGUGGUGUAUCACAUUUUAACAUUCAAAUGUAUUGAUUCAAAAAUUUGUAAUGAAAUUAUCAAUUUUUAUGGAAUUCCAAAAAUUUGUUCACAAAGUGUCAUUUUCAAUUUUGCUAGUCAAUUUACAAAAAUUGUUGUAAAAAAUAAAAAAAUAAAAAUCUACGGUAACGGUCAAAAAACGUUGCAAAAGUCACUUUUUGUAACAUUUAAAAAAGUUAAGAAAAUGGCCUUUGCAACACUUUCUGCAAUGUUUUUUAGAAGUUGCGAAAAGUAACUUUUUGCAACAUUUAACAAGUUACUUUUCACAACGUCUAAAAAUCGUUGCAGAAAGUCACUUUUAGCAUGAAUAUGAUGCAUUUUGGCAUGGUAAUUUAAAGAAAUGGCAUGGUGACAUAUACUCAUAUUACUUAUACUCAUAGCAUGCAUGAUUUUUAAUUAUUGGGUGUUUGCUUAUGUAGUUUUUGCAUUGUAGGUGAGUAUGGAACUUCAUAAAAGGCAUGACUAGCUGUGAAGCUCUUACAAGAUUCUGAAAUUUGUUGUACAUGGAUAACGACCUAUAGAGUUAUCUUGUGGGCUGUUGUUUGGGUCUUAUAAUCUAUUGUAUUAUGUUUGGAGAACGAUGUACAGUAUAUACAACUUUAGAAAUGGCAUGGUAGAUACUUUUGAAAUCCUCAAAAUAAAUAUGUUGAAAUUUCGUUAUAUAGUAUUUAGUCAUUACAUACCUUAUGUACAUUAUAUGUGACCAGGCAAGAAUAUACAGGGGCCUUAUUGUGAAGAUGCUUAUUUCAUGUUAUCAAAAAAAAUGUGUGAAAUAUUGUGUCUAAGUUAAGUCAUCAAUUUCAUUUCUACAUAGGUUAGUGUAUGAUUAUCUAUAUAAAGGGGGUGUGAUCGAGAGUAUCACAUUUAGGAGAUGAUGCAGAACAUACCUUGGCGUGGAAAGCAUUAAACACAUGGAAGCCACAAGUUCUUGAAGCUCUAUGGAAUAUGGAUGACAUAUGAGCUAAAUCAUACCAAGGCAACGGAAAAAACAAUGAAAAGCAAAGAAGAGAAAUUUUCCCUAAUUGCUUUAAAGUCGGUGAUUGAUGAAGACAUUGCAAGUGAAAAUAUGAAUGAUGAAGACUUGAUGACCUAGUUCUUCUUGUAAGAAAUUGGAGGAAUCUUUGCAACAAUCAGUUAUUUCAAAAGAAAGAAGAAAAUGGCGAAGAGAAGAGUGAUAUGAUUGUUUGCUAUAAUUGUGACUAACCCGGUCAAAAGAGAAAAUGAAUGUCCGAACAAAAAUAGAUUUAUAUAUCUAUUAAAAAAAAGGCAAUUCAAGCAAUAUGAGAUGAAAUUGAAGAUGAUGAUGAUGAAGACAAUGAAUGUCACAAGAAAGUUGUCAACAUGUGCUUCAUGACCAUUGAAAAUGAGAUAAAGAUAAAUGACAAUUCUUCAUAUAAUGAUUUAUCUACCUCGUAUGAUGAAAUUUUUGAAGAACUUGAAAAAAUUGCUCUCAAACACUCUAUUCUCAAAAAUAAAAAUUCUUUAUUGGAAAAAUAGAUAAAGAAACUUUUGGGAACUCAAAAUUAUUUAAAAAAAGAAAACGUAAAUUACGAUUUUUUUAAUUAAGGAGAAUUCCCCUUUACAAGAAAAGAUUUUAGAACUGAUUCAAAUUAUUCACAAAUUUACCUAGGACAAGAAAAUUUUUGAUUUAACGCUUGGUGAACAAAAAUGUGUUUUUGGUAAAUGAUGAAUUUGAUACAAACCAUCUUUAAAAUAAAAGUCUCUUAAAGAAUUUAUUUGUUAAAGCCUCUACUCCCCCUAUUACAAAUGUUAUAUGGGGAUUUUGCGAUAAAAAUGGACUUGUAUCUUUUAAUUGCACAAUCAAAAAGACAUUGCACUUAAAAGCAAACACAAGUGAAUUCAAAAGUUCACAAAUACUAACAACCAUGGACCCAAAGUUGUAUGGGUACCAAGGAACAAAAAUUGAAUUAUUUUUGUAGGUACUAAAGAAAAUAAAGAGUAAAUAGUUCUUGAAUUGGAUGCUCGAAGCAUAUGAUCAAAAAUCAAACUUUGUUAUCAAGCUUCAAAAAGAUGGAUGGUGGUGUUAGUUUUGUUGAUAAUAUCAAAAGAAAAAAAUCAUUGGCAUUGAAGAUAUUGGUAAUUAUUCAUUUCCCUCUAUUGAAAGUGUUCUUAUAAGCUGAUAAUCUCAAACAUACUUAUUUUGCAUUUGCAUGAAAAAUUGUUUUCAUAUCAAAUUUGAUUAUUCUAAAUACUUUAUUGAGGAUGCUACAUCAAAAGAGAUAAUAGGAAGCCGAAAUAAAGAUUUUUAUGUCAUAAACAUUGAAUUUGGAAGUGAAGAAAAAUGUUUAUCAAGUUUAAAAGAUAAUACUUGGUUGUGGGGAGAAUAAAAAAAAUAAAAAGAUUUGGUCAUGUUUGCAUGGUCCUACUUUCAAAUAUUUCAAAAAUUGAUUUGUUAAUGGUUUGGCAAAUUUGGAAAAAGAAAAUGUGAUGAAUGUCAUUUUGGAAGACUAGUGAAGAGCUCUUUCAAAUAAAAGUAAUAUUCUUGUACUACAUGAUCGUUAUAACUUUUCCAUAUGAAUCAUUUUGGACCAUCUAGAGCCGCAAGUUUAAGUGGUAAACAAAAUGCUUUUGUCAAUAGUGAAGACUUUUUUAAAAUUUACUUGAGUCCUACUUUUGAAUUUAAAGGAUAAAGGUUUGAAUGCAUUGAAACAUUUUUAAAAUGUUCAUAAAUGGAAAGGGGUAUACUAUUAGUACAAUUUGGAGUGAUCUUGUGGAGAAUCUUCACAAUAUUGCUUUUUCUGAUUUUUGCAAAACUUAUGGUCGUGAACAUUAUUUAUUAGCUUCUAGAACUCCUCAACGAAAUGUUGUAGUAAAAGAAGAAUCAUACAUUCCAAAAAUGGCUUAGACUAUACUAAAUGAAAAUAGUUUACCAAAAUAAUUUUGGGUCGAAGCCAUUAACACCCUUGCUAUAUUAUGAAUAUAGUCUUGGUUAAUCGAAAGAAAACCGAAACUCCAUAUGAACUUUAAAAAUUGGAGUUCUCUAUAUCGAUUACUUUAAAGUGUUUGGUUGUAAAUGUUUUAUCUUGAACAUUAAAGAAAUUUGAGAAAAUUUGGUUCAAAAUUUAAUAUUGGAAGCCUUCUUAGAUAUUCAUUGACUAGUAAAGCUUAUAGAAUUUUCUCUAUAACAAGAGAAUUUUAGUCAUUUAAAAAAUCCUUGCAUGCAAAAUUUGAUGAAACUAAUACUCUUGAUCAAGAGAAAGGUAUUGUUAAUGAUGUAGGUUUGAAUAUUCCUUUGAUCAAAUGAAUAUUCAAAAUCAAAAUAAAGAAGGUUCUAAAAAUGUUAAAAAUUAACAUGAGGAAAAAGCAAAUAUGCAACAAGAUGAAGAAGAAUCUUCCAAAGUACAAAGUUAUCAAUCUUUACCUAAGGAAUAGAUUCAAACAAAAUACAUCGUGGACAUGCUCAAUGAAUUUAAAAUGAAAGAGUUAAAAUCAAUGAACACUCCAAUGAACUCACCAAUCAAAUACUCAAAAAUUAAAUCUUAGUGCCAUAAAACAAAUUUUUAGAUAUAUUAGUGGCAGUAUAACAUUAGGUUCUUGGUAUCGAAAGAAAACCCAUAUUGAUUUACUUAGCUAAAUGAGAAAAAAUUCAAUUGACCAUUAUUCCCAGUAAACCUCUAGCAAUUGACAGACUUCAUAUACUUUGUAGCAAGAUCAAAUAUUAGAUUUCUUAUAUCACUAGUAAAGGUAUUAAUACAUUGAUAUUUGGCAAUAAAUGUUUAAGCUCAAAAUAUUCCUAUGCAUUAAAAGUUAUUUUGGUACAAUGUUUUGAUCAAAUAUAAAAGUGGUUUUAAAAUUAUAUUUGAACUUCAAAAAUAUCUUUUAUAUUGAAAAAUUAGUCAAAAAUAUUUUCCAAAAAACUACGCCUUUCAAAACCAUUGCAUAAGAUCAAACGGGACCAAAACGUAAAAAGAUCAAAACUGCCCAUUGGUUGAUCGGUCGUACGAGGCCAAGAGAGGCGGUCGACCAAAAAAGGAUCCAAAAUUUGACCCUUUUGCCUUAGAUUUUCACUAUAUAAACAGUUAUAUUGGCCAUCUGCAAAAAGGCAGUCGAUCGGAGAUGUCAUCCAAACAUACAAUUUUUUUAUUUUUUAUGGCGAUUUGAAUCUCUAUAAAUAUACUCACACUUUCCUUUUAAUCACAAGACUUUCAAGAGCAUCAAAGUGAAAUAAUUUUUGAGAAAAUUCAUUGAGCUUUCCUUUGCAUUCAUUUCAUGUAUUUCUAAAUAUCAAAAACUUUGAUUGAUUCAAACUCUUUAAUCAUCAUCAUCAUCGAACUCAUUCAUCUCUCUUUUUGUACUUAGCCCCCAUUUGGUCCCCAUUUUGUGGUAAUGAAAAUGGGUGGAAUAAUGUUUUUUUGAAAAAUGAGUGGUUGAAAAAGAAGGAAAAGUUUUCGAUUUACGUGUAAUAUUGUUUUAUGGAAGACUAUGUGGUUGAAAAUAGGAGAGAGAAAAAUGAAAUGGAAUGAAAAUUAAUGGGGGCCAAACUGGAGCUUAAUUUAUUUCUAUUAUUCAAAAAAGAUAGAUGUAUUUCGAAGAAUAUUUUUGAACUAACUCUUCUACAUCUUCAUACUGAAAACUUUAAUCGAUUGAAUCAAAUUUGUAAAAUCAUCUUACUCAUCAAUGUUUUUCAUUUCUUUGUUGGUGCUUAAUUUAUUAUGAUCAUUCAUUAAAAAGAGAGACAUAUCUUGAGAAGAUUUUUAAAUGUACAUUACAUUUAUUCCUCUUUCAUCUUCUUAUUGAAAAAUUUUAAUUGAUUGAAUCAAAUUUUUAAUUAUUAUAUGCAUCAAAGUUUUUCAUCUAACACUUGAGCUAGCCUUUAUUAUUUUUUAUUGAAGUGUUAGUCUCUUUUAAUACUUACUUCAUUUGUAUAAUUUAUUAACAGAGAAUUUCAUUAUAAAAUCAUUGCUUUAAGCUUGUAGGUCGUAUUGAGGUCUGGUGAAAGCUUCUAGUAUAAGGAUCAGUGCUCCUUGUUGUAAGUUAAUGUGUGGACCGUAUUGAGGUCAUGUAAAAGCUCAAUAGUAUGAGUCAUAUUGAGAUUCAAUAAAGUUAAUAUUGUAUAAGGAUGGAUACUCUUUGUUUGUAAGUCAUCGGAAACAUUUUUUAAAGGAUUGGAUUGCACCACAAGUCAAUCAAUAUAGUGAAAAGACAUUGCUCGUGCCAGAUAGCUUGAUAACAGAGGACAUAAAUCAUUUCUUUUCAUCAAACCUCCAUAAUUAUAUCGUUUGCCUCCUUUCUACCCUUUUGCUUAUUGUUAUAAAUUUAUUAUUUGAUUAAUCUACUUACUUUUAUUUGCUUAUCAUUAAUUGAUCAAUAUAUCCUUUGCUUGCUUGAUUUAAAUUUAUUUUUCGAAAAGUUUUAAAAAUUAACCCACCACCCUCUUUGUUAAUUAUUCUUAGGCUAUCAGUAAAGAUGAGGAUGGUUCUCGCUCAGAUGGACUUAGAUGAUACUGUGUUAGGGUUUGAUGAGAUGCCAUCAACUUGAAUGCACGAGGAGAAACAACGUAAGGACUGAAAGACAAUCUACCAAAUCAAAUUCUUUCAGAAGUUUCCAAGGAGAAAAAUAUUGUUACAUUAUGCUUAAAGUUACAACAGUUAUGCAUGAUGAAGCGCCUAUCUGAAGCAGCGAUUGUAUUCUGAUCGUAUGACAAAAGUACAUCUAUAAAAGACCGCUUAAUUGUCUUUAAAGAAAUAUCAUUGAUCCGGAGAACAUGGAGGUUAAGUACGAUGAAGAAGAAGAAGAUUUAUGAUUGAUUUCAUUGCCUUCUUAUGUCUUUUAGAGACACUAUUUUGUACAGUCUUGAUACUCUCGCUAUAGAUGAUGUAUAUGAUGCUCAGUUUUUUAAAGGAAAGAUGAAGCAACUUGUGUUUAGAUUUGAGACUUAGGCAGAGAGCGUUGUUGCUCAUGGUGGUUAUGUGAGCAUGUCGAAGUCUAAUAUAGCGAUAAAAUAUGUAAUUAUUGCAAGAAAAAUGAGCACAUCAAAUUUGACUGCUAUAAGUUGUAAAAUAAAGAUAAAAGAGCAACUACAAAUCCAAAAAUAAAAAAAUAAAAAAAAUAUAUGAAGCUAGUAUUGCAGAAGAUGCUUCAGUGAUGGAGAACUUCUAGUUAUUUUAUACAUUGACUCCAAACAUUGCGAGGAUUUGAUUCUUGAUAUAGCUUACACGUUUCAUAUGCUCCCAAUUGGUAUUGGUUUUCAACAUAUGAAACAAUUUCGAAAGGUACUAUAAUAAUGAAAAAUAACGUACCUUGAAAGACAGUUAGUAUUGGAACGAUUAGAGUUAAGAUGUUUGACGGGACUGUCAGAAUACUUGGUGAUGUAAAACAUGUUAUAGAUUUGAAAAUAAAUCAUAUCUCAUUGAGUGCUCUUGAUUCAAAAUGGUACAAUUAUGCUGUGAAGAUGGAGUCCAGAAGUUUAGUAAAGUUGCCUAUAUUGUAAAGAAGGGACAGAGAAGGUCUAUAUAGUCAUGACAGGACUAAUAUUUGAUUAAUCAAACAAAGUCAAAUGUACAAUUGACUAACAACAUAAUAAUGGCUCAAUCGGCUAACAUAAUGUGUGGAGCUAGAUCUCUCCAAAUUUUCUUUCUCCAUUUUGAAUAAAAAAAAAUUGGUGAAAUGUUGAGUUUCUUUUCAUGGUUAGAUUUGCCUGAGAUUAUCACCCCAUCUCCAAGAAUUGUUCAACUUUUCGUCAAAUAUCUUCAAAAACUGUUCAACUUUUUGUCAAAUAGUCACAUGAAAUAAUGAAAAGUUAUUAUGUACUUCUCAAGUGACUAUUUGAUGAAAAGUUUGAAUGAUUUCCUUCAAUUUACCCGUACAUGAAUCAAAAACGAUGAUUUGGCGACUUAAAUGUAACAAAAAUAAAUGGGGACCCAAGUGAAACAUAUGAUAAUCUAUAGGGAUCGUGGGAAAGAAUUUCCCUAUUAAAAUCUGAUUAAAAUUUUCGUAUUAUUACUUAUUUGGUUAUGCAUAGGUGAAUUGAGAAAACACAGGACAAUCUGGACCGACUUGCAUCAAACAAAAUCCAACACGAGAAACAUCAAACAUGAGACAGUACUAAUAGCAUUAUUACACAGACUAUAUCCCAUGUUUUAUUGCUACUUUGACACUACUCACGAGCAACAACCACCACCUGCUUCCCAACAUUGCGACCGGAGAAAAGCCCUACAAGAGCAGCUGGUGCGCUUUCCAGGCCUUCGGCUACAUCUUCUACAUAAGUUAUCUUCCCUUCUUUUAUCAGUGGAAGCACCAUCUCCAAAAAUUUUGGAUAGAGGUGGUAGUAAUCAAAAACAAGAAAUCCUUCCAUACGAAUACGUUUAGUUAUAGUGCAGAAUAAGUUGUGUACACCUUCUGGCUGCUCAAGAUUGUACUGUGAGAUCAAUCCACAAACAGCUAUACGACCCUUGAUUUUCAUGUUGAGAAGCACGGCAUCAAGCAUUUUUCCUCCGACAUUCUCAAAGUAAAUAUCGAUUCCAUUAGGGAAAUACCUAUCAGAAUAACAAACUGUACUAUGAAUUUUGUAAAGUGAAGAAAAGCAACCAAGCAAGCAUUUUAAAUAUUUGC